rnacentral:tRNA from 3 species
GGGCGUAUAGCUCAGUGGUAGAGCGCUACCUUGACAUGGUAGAAGUCCGUAGUUCGAUCCUACGUACGCCCACCA